ACGGGGGGGGCAAGCGUUGUUCGGAAUUACUGGGCGUAAAGGGCUCGUAGGCGGCCAACUAAGUCAGACGUGAAAUCCCUCGGCUUAACCGGGGAACUGCGUCUGAUACUGGAUGGCUUGAGAUUGGGAGAGGGAUGCGGAAUUCCAGGUGUAGCGGUGAAAUGCGUAGAUAUCUGGAGGAACACCGGUGGCGAAGGCGGCAUCCUGGACCAACACUGACGCUGAGGAGCGAAAGCCAGGGGAGCAAACGGG
rnacentral:rRNA from 1 species